ACAAUCGCACAGGGAUCAAAACGUGUUUACAAGAACGGAAACCACUUGUGAAAUCAGUUUUGAUGAUUUUACCUGACGGGAUCUGUGCUCCCUUCCUGCACUUCUGAGUACUGGCUAUCCCUCGGGUUGCUGCCUGACACAUAAGGGCUGAAGUGACUAAACAGGCGUGUGCAAGGCUGCCCCCCAACACAGGCACCUCAACUGGAGCGUUCCUAGCUCUCCUGCCAUAAAACCACUGGUGCAGACUGGGAUAUGCUGGACUGGAGCAGAGCAACUGCAGGCACUGGAUGGAACUGGCUGUGGACGUUGCCGUGUGAGACCUGAUGGCCUUCCUGAAAUACAGACUACUGAACACCUAACAGUCCAUGCUCUCCUCUCAGUUUUCCAUGGGAGCUUCCACAGCCUGCGUAGUAGUAUGCAGUAAGGCAAAACAUCUGUUUUUGUUUCUUAUAAAUCUGCUGCCUGAAAAUGUCAUUGGCUGCCCAUGGAUUUUGUGCAAUAAGAAACAAAUAAUCCUUUUCUACUUAUCACUUAUAGUUGUAUGUCUGCCUACUGCCGGC